GCCCCAGUAGUGUAGUCGGCAAGCACAGCAGACUGGAAAUCUGUGGGUAGGGGUUCGAGACCCGCUGUGCUU
rnacentral:tRNA from 1 species